rnacentral:ncRNA from 1 species
UACAUCAUGCUGAUAAGAAAAAGUAGAGGUUUGCUGCUAGACAGAGAGUCUUCGUUAGGUGUGAGAAGAUUAGCCGUGCGCUUUGAAAAUGGUCUUUGAGUGAUAGCAGUCAAGGAAGUUCUUUCUAAAACUGCUACGGGUAAGCCCGAUACAGCUUGCCAGUAUACCUAAGUGUACUGAUGGAGUUGGUAUUUGUGAGAAUACCAUGAAUUCAAGGUGGUAACACGUUUUAACGUCCUUGCA